rnacentral:rRNA from 1 species
UUAAGCGACUAAGCGUACACGGUGGAUGCCCUGGCAGUCAGAGGCGAUGAAGGACGUGCUAAUCUGCGAUAAGCGUCGGUAAGGUGAUAUGAACCGUUAUAACCGGCGAUUUCCGAAUGGGGAAACCCAGUGUGAUUCGACACACUAUCAUUAACUGAAUCCAUAGGUUAAUGAGGCGAACCGGGGGAACUGAAACAUCUAAGUACCCCGAGGAAAAGAAAUCAACCGAGAUUCCCCCAGUAGCGGCGAGCGAACGGGGAGCAGCCCAGAGCCUGAAUCAGUGUGUGUGUUAGUGGAAGCGUCUGGAAAGGCGCGCGAUACAGGGUGACAGCCCCGUACACAAAAAUGCACAUAUUGUGAGCUCGAUGAGUAGGGCGGGACACGUGGUAUCCUGUCUGAAUAUGGGGGGCCCAUCCUCCAAGGCUAAAUACUCCUGACUGACCGAUAGUGAACCAGUACCGUGAGGGAAAGGCGAAAAGAACCCCGGCGAGGGGAGUGAAAAAGAACCUGAAACCGUGUACGUACAAGCAGUGGGAGCACGCUUAGGCGUGUGACUGCGUACCUUUUGUAUAAUGGGUCAGCGACUUAUAUUCUGUAGCAAGGUUAACCGAAUAGGGGAGCCGAAGGGAAACCGAGUCUUAACUGGGCGUUAAGUUGCAGGGUAUAGACCCGAAACCCGGUGAUCUAGCCAUGGGCAGGUUGAAGGUUGGGUAACACUAACUGGAGGACCGAACCGACUAAUGUUGAAAAAUUAGCGGAUGACUUGUGGCUGGGGGUGAAAGGCCAAUCAAACCGGGAGAUAGCUGGUUCUCCCCGAAAGCUAUUUAGGUAGCGCCUCGUGAAUUCAUCUCCGGGGGUAGAGCACUGUUUCGGCAAGGGGGUCAUCCCGACUUACCAACCCGAUGCAAACUGCGAAUACCGGAGAAUGUUAUCACGGGAGACACACGGCGGGUGCUAACGUCCGUCGUGAAGAGGGAAACAACCCAGACCGCCAGCUAAGGUCCCAAAGUCAUGGUUAAGUGGGAAACGAUGUGGGAAGGCCCAGACAGCCAGGAUGUUGGCUUAGAAGCAGCCAUCAUUUAAAGAAAGCGUAAUAGCUCACUGGUCGAGUCGGCCUGCGCGGAAGAUGUAACGGGCUAAACCAUGCACCGAAGCUGCGGCAGCGACGCUUAUGCGUUGUUGGGUAGGGGAGCGUUCUGUAAGCCUGCGAAGGUGUGCUGUGAGGCAUGCUGGAGGUAUCAGAAGUGCGAAUGCUGACAUAAGUAACGAUAAAGCGGGUGAAAAGCCCGCUCGCCGGAAGACCAAGGGUUCCUGUCCAACGUUAAUCGGGGCAGGGUGAGUCGACCCCUAAGGCGAGGCCGAAAGGCGUAGUCGAUGGGAAACAGGUUAAUAUUCCUGUACUUGGUGUUACUGCGAAGGGGGGACGGAGAAGGCUAUGUUGGCCGGGCGACGGUUGUCCCGGUUUAAGCGUGUAGGCUGGUUUUCCAGGCAAAUCCGGAAAAUCAAGGCUGAGGCGUGAUGACGAGGCACUACGGUGCUGAAGCAACAAAUGCCCUGCUUCCAGGAAAAGCCUCUAAGCAUCAGGUAACAUCAAAUCGUACCCCAAACCGACACAGGUGGUCAGGUAGAGAAUACCAAGGCGCUUGAGAGAACUCGGGUGAAGGAACUAGGCAAAAUGGUGCCGUAACUUCGGGAGAAGGCACGCUGAUAUGUAGGUGAAGUCCCUUGCGGAUGGAGCUGAAAUCAGUCGAAGAUACCAGCUGGCUGCAACUGUUUAUUAAAAACACAGCACUGUGCAAACACGAAAGUGGACGUAUACGGUGUGACGCCUGCCCGGUGCCGGAAGGUUAAUUGAUGGGGUCAGCGCAAGCGAAGCUCUUGAUCGAAGCCCCGGUAAACGGCGGCCGUAACUAUAACGGUCCUAAGGUAGCGAAAUUCCUUGUCGGGUAAGUUCCGACCUGCACGAAUGGCGUAAUGAUGGCCAGGCUGUCUCCACCCGAGACUCAGUGAAAUUGAACUCGCUGUGAAGAUGCAGUGUACCCGCGGCAAGACGGAAAGACCCCGUGAACCUUUACUAUAGCUUGACACUGAACAUUGAGCCUUGAUGUGUAGGAUAGGUGGGAGGCUUUGAAGUGUGGACGCCAGUCUGCAUGGAGCCGGCCUUGAAAUACCACCCUUUAAUGUUUGAUGUUCUAACGUGGACCCGUGAUCCGGGUUGCGGACAGUGUCUGGUGGGUAGUUUGACUGGGGCGGUCUCCUCCUAAAGAGUAACGGAGGAGCACGAAGGUUGGCUAAUCCUGGUCGGACAUCAGGAGGUUAGUGCAAUGGCAUAAGCCAGCUUGACUGCGAGCGUGACGGCGCGAGCAGGUGCGAAAGCAGGUCAUAGUGAUCCGGUGGUUCUGAAUGGAAGGGCCAUCGCUCAACGGAUAAAAGGUACUCCGGGGAUAACAGGCUGAUACCGCCCAAGAGUUCAUAUCGACGGCGGUGUUUGGCACCUCGAUGUCGGCUCAUCACAUCCUGGGGCUGAAGUAGGUCCCAAGGGUAUGGCUGUUCGCCAUUUAAAGUGGUACGCGAGCUGGGUUUAGAACGUCGUGAGACAGUUCGGUCCCUAUCUGCCGUGGGCGCUGGAGAACUGAGGGGGGCUGCUCCUAGUACGAGAGGACCGGAGUGGACGCAUCACUGGUGUUCGGGUUGUCAUGCCAAUGGCACUGCCCGGUAGCUAAAUGCGGAAGAGAUAAGUGCUGAAAGCAUCUAAGCACGAAACUUGCCCCGAGAUGAGUUCUCCCUGACCCUUUAAGGGUCCUGAAGGAACGUUGAAGACGACGACGUUGAUAGGCCGGGUGUGUAAGCGCAGCGAUGCGUUGAGCUAACCGGUACUAAUGAACCGUGAGGCUUAACCUU